rnacentral:pre_miRNA from 1 species
UAGCUUUGUCCUAAGUCAAACUUCUUAAAGUUUGACUAAGUUUAUAGAAAAAUGUAUCAACAUUUAGAAUAUCAAAUAACUAUAGUAUGAAAAAAUAUAUUACGAUGGAUCUAAUAAAACUAAUUUGGAGUUGUAGAUGUUGGUAGAUUUUUCUAUAAACUUGGUCAAAGAUUAAGAAGUUUGACUUGGGACAAAGCUAG